GGUUGCGAUCAUCCCAGCACUAAUGCACCGGAUCCCAUCAGAACUCCGCAGUUAAGCGUGCUUGGGCGAGAGUAAUACUAGGAUGGGUGACCUCCUGGGAAGUCCUCGUGUUGCAACCC
rnacentral:rRNA from 1 species